rnacentral:rRNA from 1 species
GACGAACGCUGGCGGCGUGCCUAAUACAUGCAAGUAGAACGCUGAAGAGAGGAGCUUGCUCUUCUUGGAUGAGUUGCGAACGGGUGAGUAACGCGUAGGUAACCUGCCUUGUAGCGGGGGAUAACUAUUGGAAACGAUAGCUAAUACCGCAUAACAAUGGAUGACCCAUGUCAUUUAUUUGAAAGGGGCAAAUGCUCCGCUACAAGAUGGACCUGCGUUGUAUUAGCUAGUAGGUGAGGUAACGGCUCACCUAGGCGACGAUACAUAGCCGACCUGAGAGGGUGAUCGGCCACACUGGGACUGAGACACGGCCCAGACUCCUACGGGAGGCAGCAGUAGGGAAUCUUCGGCAAUGGGGGCAACCCUGACCGAGCAACGCCGCGUGAGUGAAGAAGGUUUUCGGAUCGUAAAGCUCUGUUGUAAGUCAAGAACGAGUGUGAGAGUGGAAAGUUCACACUGUGACGGUAGCUUACCAGAAAGGGACGGCUAACUACGUG